rnacentral:ncRNA from 1 species
AUGUCUCUGCUGGCAAGGAUAAACUGUUUUUCUUUCGUUGGCAUUACCUCUUUCUACUCAUUUAUGAUCACGUAAUGGCCCAAAGCCAUCAUCCGUUGGGUUAUGGCUGAACUCCCCCAAGUCAGAACCCGUUCUAGAACGCGACGAUUACCGCCUUGCGCAAUUUUUAGUUGAAUAUGAAUAGACUUACGGUCCAGAAUUUUAUGAACCUAGGAUUGUCUUGCAGAGCGGAAAAACUUUGUGACAUUCUUGCUGAUGUUAAUUUAGAAUAUUGGAAGAGAUCAAUCCAUUGCAGACGACUUUUAAGCAAGACGGUAUUGUAAGUAGUAGAGACGCUCGGUUGUGUCGAUUUACUGAGAUUAAGCCAUACGAUGU